GUUUUAUUCAUUUAUUUUCGAUUGUUUUUUGGCCAUAAAACAGGUUUGGUCUCGACUUCUUUCUUUAUCUGCCGCUGCAGAUCGCUGCCCAUUUGUGCAGCCCAAUUUCAAUUCCAAUACCAAUACCAGUGCCAGUCCAGUCCAGUCCAGUCCCGUCCCAAAUGCAUUUUGAUUCGAAACUCCAUCUCUCGCUAGAAUCCAAUCUCCCUUCGCGAUUCUACACGCCUACAAGUUGUCAACCCAUAAAGACACAGACACGACUCCGUAUCAAUUGUGGCCCUCGAUCGAAGGGUAAGGGUUCCUCGGGGUCAGUCCAAAGCAAAUGCAUAAAUUGUGUAAUUCCCAGCUAGCGCGAUAUGAAAUCUGGUCGGGUCGGGUCGGAUCGGGUCGGGCCUGUGCC
rnacentral:lncRNA from 1 species